AGCCCCUCGUGCGGCGUCACCUUAUGAACCUCCCCAGGGCCGGAAGGCAGCAAGGAUAAGUAAGCUCUGGCGGGUGCGCGGGGGGUCUUUU
rnacentral:SRP_RNA from 1 species